rnacentral:rRNA from 1 species
UACGUAGGUGGCAAGCGUUGUCCGGAUUUAUUGGGUUUAAAGGGUGCGUAGGCGGUUUUGUAAGUCAGUGGUGAAAUGCUCUAGCUUAACUAGAGAGGUGCCAAUGAUACUGCAAGACUUGAGUACAGAUGAGGUAGGCGGAAUUGACGGUGUAGCGGUGAAAUGCAUAGAUAUCUGCAGGAACACCCGUGGCGAAAGCGGCGCGCUGGACCACUACUGACGCUGAGGCGCGAAAGCGUGGGGAUCAAACAGG